CGCUUUAAGAAACUGAAGUGCUCAAAGCAGGCCUGUCGCCCGCACAAGGAUGCAUGGAAUAAUGCAAGAGGCCCUCGGUUGUGUUGGUUUUCGGAACCGGAGGUAAUGAUCGAUAGGAACAGACGGGGGCAUUCGUACUGAGACGCUAGAGGUGAAAUUCUUGGACCGUCGCAGGACGAACUACUGCGAAAACAUUUGUCAAGAAUGUUUUCAUUGACCAAGAACGGAAGGCGAUCAGAUACCGCCGUAGUUCUGACCGUAAACUAUGCCAGCCAGCGAUCCACUGCUGUUUGAGAAAGGACACGCCGGGCAGCUUCCGCGAAACCAGAGUUUCUGGGUUCCGGGGGAAGUAUGGUUGCAAAACUGAAACUUAAAGGAAUUGACGAAAGGGUAUUAUCAGGGAUGGAUUCUGAGGCUCAAUUUGAUUCAACACGGGAAAACUCACCCGGUCCGGACACGGCGAGGAUUGACAGAUUAAUGGCUCUUGAUUCCGUGGGUGGUGGUGCAUGGUCCUUUUUAGUUCGUGGGCAUGAAGUGUCUGGUUAAUUCCAAUAACGAGCGAGACUUUUGCCUGCUAAAUAGGCUGUUCCGUGAUGUUACACGGUAAGAUAAUCUUCUGAGAGGAACAAGCGGUUUCGAGCCGCACGAAAAAGAUCAAAAACAGGUCAGUGAUGCCCUUAGAUAUCCAGGGCCGCACGCGCAAUACCAUGAAGGAGACAGCGUGUGCUUUUUUCGUGGCCGAGAGGUUCGGGCAACCCGCUGAAACGCCUUCGUGCUGGGGAUAGGGGACUGUAACUGCCCCCUUGAACGAGGAAUCCCCAGUAGGCUCGAGUCAUUAACUCGUGCCGAUUAAGUUUCUGCUCUUUGUACUCACUGCCCGUCGUUAAUACCGAUUGAGUGACUCGGUGAGGUCUUUGGACCUGCGCCUCCGUUCCUUAACGGACACGAGGUGACGGAAAGAUGAUCGAACUCGAUCACUUAGAGGAAUUACAAGUCGUAAUAAAGUUUCCGUAGGUGAACCUGCUGAAGGAUCAUU
rnacentral:rRNA from 1 species